rnacentral:rRNA from 1 species
GACGAACGCUGGCGGCGUGCUUAACACAUGCAAGUCGAACGGAAAGGCCCUGCUUUUGUGGGGUGCUCGAGUGGCGAACGGGUGAGUAACACGUGAGUAACCUGCCCUUGACUUUGGGAUAACUUCAGGAAACUGGGGCUAAUACCGGAUAGGAGCUCCUGCUGCAUGGUGGGGGUUGGAAAGUUUCGGCGGUUGGGGAUGGACUCGCGGCUUAUCAGCUUGUUGGUGGGGUAGUGGCUUACCAAGGCUUUGACGGGUAGCCGGCCUGAGAGGGUGACCGGCCACAUUGGGACUGCGAUACGGCCCAGACUCCUACGGGAGGCAGCAGUGGGGAAUAUUGCACAAUGGGCGGAAGCCUGAUGCAGCAACGCCGCGUGCGGGAUGACGGCUUUCGGGUUGUAAACCGCUUUCGCCUGUGACGAAGCGUGAGUGACGGUAAUGGGUAAAGAAGCACCGGCUAACUACGUG